GGGCAGGAAAUUCCCAGCUUUUGGGGACAUUUUUCCCCACUUUUUGGAUACAAUGAAUUCAUUGGAUACAAUGAAUUCAUUGGAUACAAUGAAUGUUAAAAGUUCCAUUAACUUAAUGUCCAAAAGCAAGUUUAGUCCUUUGGUUUCCCUACUUCAAAAUGUAGCAUUUGCCUUCUUCAUGACCAAAAGUAAACAUGUUUGUAAAGCUAUUUAUCAUUACUAUUAAAGCUUGACAAAACCAGUGAAUUUGGCAAAUCAGUGAUUCAGCAAAUUGGCUUUCAACACAUUUUGUUGAUGAUUUUAUGUCAAUUGACUAUUCAAUACAUUUAUAUUUUCUCAAACUGAAUUUCAGCUACUUGUCUGCUUCUUUCACAUCACAAAACUUAUUUCACUAAAUUGUAACAAUACAGAAUAACUAACAUUUAUUAUGUUUUUAAUUUGUGCCACUUUUAAGCUAACUGCUGGCCGGGCCUGGUGGCUCAUGCCUGUAAUC
rnacentral:lncRNA from 10 species